ACUUGUUGGGGCAAUAAUCCAAGCAAUAUUAGCCCCUCAUAUCAACCAAACCAUUUGCAUCAAUUAUUUUCAAGAAUUAAAGAGAGAGAAAGUUCAUCCAUGGAAGAAGGAAGAAGAAGAAGAAGAAGGAAGGCUUAAGAAAAAGGUAUGAAAAUUUCCUAAAUUCAAAACUCUUGUUAGUUUAAAAGUGUUUUGAUAUGGUGUUUUAGAUCAAGUGUUGAACUUAUGAUUUUGAUCCAUAUGAGGGAAGAUCUACAUGAUAUAUGAUAUUUUAUGGUUAGAUCUUGCCAUUUUUAGGGUUGAUAGGCUUGAACAAAGAAGAAUAACCAAAACAGUUUUUUUUGUUUUAAAUGAGUUAGUGGACUGCUGCCCUAAAACAGAAAAUUUCGGAUUUGUUAGAGUGCUCUAAAAAUUCUGGACUUGUGAUAUGUUAUAGUACACUCAAUAAGCUUUCCAUAGACUCCAAAACGGACUAAAUCCGACAUCGGAGGAGGGAGUUAUGGGAUUUCUCCCAAACUACACAAAGUUAAGAAAACUGUGAAAAGGACAGUUUUGGAACAGUCACUUCCGGGCUAAAUUCCGGGAGCUAAACAUAUCCAAAUAUGGAUUGUGAUAUAUGAAAACUGUAGUUCGGAAAGAUACGAAUCCAACAAAAUUGACGGAUCAUUAAUCGGAGUUACAGAUUUCGUUUUAUUUAAGUUUUGGUGAAGGACUCCAAAACUGCCAAAGUGCAAAAAGUUUCUGGCCAAAAUUUUCCGAGGGCUGUUUUGGACAUUUAGUUAAUGAGAAAAAUUACAGGCUUUUGGGAAAUGAAAAUAUAUGGUAAUAUGUAGCUCGUGUCCAAAAAUGAGCUAAUUCCGGCUUAAAACGACCAAGUUAUGACCAUUUCAAUUUUUGUGAUUUUCCGACGGAAAUCGCUAUAACCGGAGUUCUACAACUCCGAUUGCCACGAAAUUUAAAAUGGAGCAUCACGUUAACAUAUAUAAGGUUAUGUCAAAAGAUGGGCAUCUCUGGAGUUAAGCACGAGGUAGCUAAUUUUCUUAAGUCACGCACUAAUUAUGAUUUUUGAAAAAUAGUAAAAGAAAUUGAAAAAUUACGGAAAAAUAUUUUUUAUGUAUGAAAUACAUGUAUAUAUGUUUGACCAAAGGAUAAAAAAAUAAUAAGUUGAUUUGGUAUUUUUCGUGAAAAAGAAUAGUGAUUUCGGGAUACUGAAAUAAAAUCCGUCUUACUGAAAUGGUAUUUCGGUUUACUAAGAUGUUAUCUAAUUUACUAGGAUAACAUAUAAAAAUGAAUAACUUAUAAGUAUAAGUUAUGAUGUGAUUAAAAGAAUAUCAAAGUAUAAUAAUAAUAUUAAGACUUAAAACUAAUGUCUAAUACUUAACUAUAUGUUAUGACUAACCGAAAGAUCUAUUAUAGGUUUUAUAUGCUGUAUAGACUGAUAGGAUUAUGUGUUUAAGUUAUUUUAUAACGGUGAUGAUAUUAUUCUAAUAUUGGAGAUCUAUAUUAUUAAUAUUAGGUCUUCAGGAGAAGCGUAUUAUAUUGCGUUACGGUAAUCAACGGUUCAGGCAAGUUUUUCAAGUUCUUUUUACUUAAACUCUUUUAAGAGUGGUUUCAGACAGAUAUGCUUAUGAAUUGUACUCUGUACAUAUUGCAUGUAUUCAUCAGGUAUGAAAGGCUGAUCACCUUCAUUACCAGUCAGUUCAGAUAUAAUUGUUAUGUUCAUUUUCAAUGUUCAUUCAGCUUUGAAAUUUUGUUCAUGCUAAUUCACAACUACAUUGUGAAGGAUAGCCAGCUUAUUAUUCAAACUCUUUCAAUCAUGAUAUAUCUUUACAUUGUUUUUAAACUUGCUGGGCAACUUUCAUGCUCACCCUUGCUAUAUCAUGAUAAAACAUUGCAGAUAAGGCGAAUACGGCCAGUUACAGGAAAAGAAAAAUGCCAAGUUCAGCUUGGGAUAGAAUGUACAGCUAAUUUGUAAAAGUAUAGUUGAAGAAUAGUAUUGUUAUGUGUUAGAUAGUUUCUGAAUUGUGUAUAAGUUAAGGUUACUCGACCUUGGGGAAUAGUGUGUAAUGUAAUGUAUAAACAAUUUAUGUUUAUAUCUUCCGCAACAGUUGUAGAAAUAGCGAACCGGAUCCGCGGCGAUUCGGGACCCGGAUUCGGGGCUGCUACAAAAAUAGAUAUCGAUAUUGAUACUGGUAUAUUAUUUUUUUUAUAUUAUUA
rnacentral:lncRNA from 1 species